rnacentral:rRNA from 1 species
CGGCUCAGUAACACGUGGAUAACCUACCCUCAGAUCUGGGAUAACUCCGGGAAACUGGAGAUAAUACCGGAUAAUCCGUGAACGCUGGAAUGCCUUACGGUUGAAAGCUUUAGCGUCUGAGGAUGGGUCUGCGGCCGAUUAGGUAGUUGCUGGGGUAACGUCCCAACAAGCCGAUAAUCGGUACGGGUUGUGAGAGCAAGAGCCCGGAGAUGGAUUCUGAGACACGAAUCCAGGUCCUACGGGGCGCAGCAGGCGCGAAAACUUUACACUGCGCGAAAGCGCGAUAAGGGGACCUCGAGUGCGUGCGCAAAGCGUACGCUUUUCAGAUGCCUAAAAAGCAUCUGGAAUAAGGGCCGGGCAAGACCGGUGCCAGCCGCCGCGGUAACACCGGCGGCUCAAGUGGUGGCCGCUAUUAUUGGGCUUAAAGGGUCCGUAGCCGGACCAGUUAGUCCCUUGGGAAAUCUUACGGCUUAACCGUAAGGCUGCCAAUGGAUACUGCUGGUCUUGGGACCGGGAGAGGCAAGAGGUACCUCAGGGGCAGGAGUGAAAUCCUGUAAUCCUUGAGGGACCGCCAGUGGCGAAGGCGUCUUGCUAGAACGGGUCCGACGGUGAGGGACGAAAGCUAGGG